UACGUAGGAUGCAAGCGUUGUCCGGAAUUAUUGGGCGUAAAGCGCGCGCAGGCGGUUUCUUAAGUCUGAUGUGAAAGCCCACGGCUCAACCGUGGAGGGUCAUUGGAAACUGGGAAACUUGAGUGCAGAAGAGAAGAGUGGAAUUCCACGUGUAGCGGUGAAAUGCGUAGAGAUGUGGAGGAACACCAGUGGCGAAGGCGACUCUUUGGUCUGUAACUGACGCUGAGGCGCGAAAGCGUGGGGAGCAAACAGG
rnacentral:rRNA from 1 species